rnacentral:rRNA from 1 species
AUUGAACGCUGGCGGCAGGCCUAACACAUGCAAGUCGAGCGGAGCGGGGGACGGGUGAGUAAUGCCUAGGUAUAUGCCUGGUAGUGGGGGAUAACGUCCGGAAAGGGGCGCUAAUACCGCAUACUAUCAGAUGAACCUAGGUUGGAGUAGCUCGUUGGUGGGGUAAAGGCUUACAAAGGCGACGAUCCGUAGCUGGUCUGAGAGGAUGAUCAGUCACACUGGAACUGAGACACGGUCCAGACUCCUACGGGAGGCAGCAGUGGGGAAUAUUGGGCAAUGGGCGAAAGCCUGAUCCAGCCAUGCCGCGUGUGUGAAGAAGGUCUUCGGAUUGUAAAGCACUUUAAGUUGGGAGGCGUUACCAACAGAAUAAGCACCGGCUAACUUCGUGCCAGCAGCCGCGGUAAUAC